CGAGGUAACUUUAACAGUUAUGCCUGCUUUGUGAAUUCUGGAAACAAGAUUUACAUUUAUACCAGUUAUAUGGGGUAGAGGCUGUAAACCUAAAUCAGAUUAUAUCAGUCGGGCACCUGAAACUCAGAAACAAGAUACAAUCUUGUAUAUAAAAACAGUAUAUUCUAGGCAAUAUUAAAAUCUGUGCACCUACUUAUUUAAAU